rnacentral:sRNA from 1 species
UGUAAUAUAUUACUAUUAAAAGAAAUAAAAAUAUAAAAUAUUAUGAUAAAUUGAGAAUAUUAGAAAAAAUGAUUUUCUGACCAAACAAAAAUACAAUAUAUCAUCUCGUCCGGCCAAAUGAUUUUCUAAUCGAGAAAACAAAUCGAAAAAUGUAUUCAAUAUAUAAUCAAAAAACUCAAAAGAAUACAAAAUAAAAUAAAAACAACGAUGCCAUGAAAUAGUCAAAGAAUUACACUAGCUAAUGAAUGAAUAAAAGGAUAGAUGAUACUUAUGUUUGAUUCUUGAUUUUGAUUUUUAUCGGAUGCCAUAAUUGAGAGAAUAGGGUUACAAUAUAUUA